rnacentral:lncRNA from 1 species
GGAGUAGGUCCGGUAAGGGCCGAUUUUGGCCUCAAAUUUCAGGUUCAUCUGACGAAAGAUUUGGACACUUUUUAAACACUUAAGUGUCUCUUCAAUUGAUUUGAUUAGUUUUUGUGAAAGUUUUAAACUGAUUUAGUCAUUUAAAACGAUCCGAUUCCAGCUUAAAUAUGAAAAAUCUAGCAUAUAUGCAAAAAAACGUCACUUUUCAGAUGGUUUUUGUCAAAAAUGAAAGUGGCCGCAUCCGUGUUCAUCCUCAACUUUUAUAUAUGUUAUGUAUUAUCAUCAAAUACAACUUACAUUUCAAUAUUAUGAAUGAACACGAAUGCGGCCACUUUCAUUUCAGACGGAAACCGUCUAAAAUUUAACUAAAAUCCUAAAAUUGUGAAGAUUUCAGUAAUUUAGAAUGACUUAACGAUUCUAGUACCCGAUAUAUGUACAUUGUAUUGUAAAAAACAGCC